ACGAGCGCAACCCUCGUUUUUAGUUGCCAUCAUUAAGUUGGGCACUCUAGAGAGACUGCCGGUGACAAACCGGAGGAAGGUGGGGAUGACGUCAAGUCAUCAUGCCCCUUACGCCUUGGGCUACACACGUACUACAAUGGCCGGGACAAAGAGUCGCAAGCAUGCGAAUGCAAGCUAAUCUCAUAAACCCGGUCUUAGUUCAGAUUGCAGGCUGCAACUCGCCUGCAUGAAGGCGGAAUCGCUAGUAAUCGCAGGUCAGCAUACUGCGGUGAAUACGUUCCCGGGCCUUGUACACACCGCCCGUCACACCAUGGAAGCUGGUCACGCCCGAAGUCGUUAUCUCAACCCGCAAGGGAGGGAGGCGCCUAAGGCAGGGCUGGUGACUGGGGUGAAGUCGUAACAAGGUAGCCGUACCGGAAGGUGCGGCUGGAUCACCUCCUUA
rnacentral:rRNA from 1 species